rnacentral:lncRNA from 1 species
CCUGCAGGUGCCGAUUUCUUGAACAAAACGAAGGGCGGUUCCAUAGAAGCAAAGCCAGUUUUCAAAACAGAACAGAAUAGAAUUCUUUUAUCGGCCAAGUGUGAUUGGACACACAAGGAAUUUGUCUUGGUGUAAAUACUCUCAGUGUACAUAAAAGCUACAUUUGUCAAGAGUCAAGAAUCAUAACGUACAACACUUAAUAAUAGUCAUAGGGUACAAUAAGCAAUCAAAUCAUACUAGGAAACAGUCCAUAUAAAUCGCAAGGAUACAAGCGACAAAGUUACAGUCAUUCAGUCACAAGUGGGAGGGGAUGGGCGAUAAGGAGUGAGGAGAAGAUGAAUAGUAAUAGUAGUGCAGACUUUGUAAAUAGUUGGACAGUGUUGAGGGAAUUAUUUGUUUAGCAGAGUGAUGGCUUUCGGGGGGAAAACACUGUCCUUGUGUUCAGUUGUUCUGGUGUGCAGGGCUCUACAGCGUCGUUUUGAGGGAAGGAGUGGAAACAGUUUGUGUCUGGGAUGUGAGGGGUCUGCAGAUAUUUUCACAGGCUAUUGCUGGAAUAAGCCGCACCCUCUUUCCUAGGCACCCACUACAUCCGCGGAGUCAACAAUGCCUCCCAGCCCUGGCACAGCUCAGAAGGCCGCAAGCAAUACAGCCUGAAGCCUGCCAACCCCACAGAGGAAGGGCUGGCCAGCCUGCACAGCGUCCUCUUCCGCAAGCAGCCUUUCCUCUGGAGGGCUGCCCUCCUCUACUACACCGUCUGCCAGGCUGGGCGCCUGUCCUUCUGCGAACUCUUCCGGGACCUGGGGCGCUACGUGCAGGAUGCCGGGGUCCGGUGGGAGUACUGCGUGCGAGCCAAGCGAGGCCAGGCCGACACCUCAUUGCCAGGCUGCUUCAGCAAAGACCAGGUGUACCUGGAAGGAAUCCUCCAGAUCCUCCGGCAUCGACAAACGAUUGAUUUCCAGUUGCUGGCUGCCCUGGGCAAGGUAGGUGGAGGGAGGCCACUUGCUUUUGGCUCUGGCACAGCCCUCCCAGCGGAGACGGGUGGGGGGGAGGAAUCUUGGAUCAUCAUGG